AAAGGUAAGCUACUAAGAGCGAAUGGUGGAUGCCUUGACUGGUAAAGGCGAUGAAGGACGUACUAGACUGCGAUAAGCUACGGGGAGCUGUCAAGAAGCUUUGAUCCGUAGAUUUCCGAAUGGGGCAACCCAAUGUAUAGAGAUAUACAUUACCUAUAUAGGAGCGAACGAGGGGAAUUGAAACAUCUUAGUACCCUCAGGAAAAGAAAUCAAUAGAGAUUGCGUCAGUAGCGGCGAGCGAAAGCGCAAGAGGGCAAACCCAGUGCUUGCACUGGGGGUUGUAGGACUGCAAUGUGCAAGAGCUGAGUUUAGCAGAACAUUCUGGAAAGUAUAGCCAUAGAG
rnacentral:rRNA from 1 species